rnacentral:rRNA from 1 species
UACGGGGGGAGCAAGCGUUGUUCGGAUUUACUGGGCGUAAAGGGCGCGUAGGCGGUCGUGACAAGUCACUUGUGAAAUCUCCGGGCUUAACUCGGAACGGUCAAGUGAUACUGUCGGACUAGAGUACAGAAGGGGCAACUGGAAUUCUCGGUGUAGCGGUGAAAUGCGUAGAUAUCGAGAGGAACACCUGCGGCGAAGGCGGGUUGCUGGGCCAUAACUGACGCUGAGGAGCGAAAGCGUGGGGAGCAAACAGG